GUAGGUCCAACCACAUCAUCACUACGGGGCCACCUCUUGGCCCCGCCGCCACUGGCAGCGCACCGGCCGCCGGCAGGGGACCAGAUCAGCUUGCUUGUCUCCUCCCCUCGCGCCGCCGGGACAGGGGCACUGCGAGGUACUGUUCCUGCUCGUCGUGGGGGUUACGAACUAGCUCGAUUACUGUCUCAUUUUUUCCUUCUACCGGCGCGCCGUUUUGGCGGGUGGCCCAGCCAUGGCCAUGCAGCUCGUCCUUGUUCGCCGGGGUCGCGGUUGCGGCGUUUAGGUAUUGCGAGUUGGCUUCCCGUCUCUCGCCAUCCUUGCUGCUUCGCCAGCCCUAGCAGUAGCCAAGCAAGGUAACAAGGUUUGGGUGAUGAAGGAGGCUAAGCAUCAGCACCUCGACGAGGAAUUCACGGUUUCCCUGCAACCCGUCCUUGUCGAGCUGCUUAACUGCUAUGACCUAGGCUCGUUGCUCCAUUCUUCCUCUUCUUGUUCGUCUCCGACGUCAAUGGCUCCUCAGCUUCAUGGGCAGUCUUGCCACCACCGCCACGCCCCCACCCCCACUUCCUCUUUGUUUUCUUUGUCUCUGAAGUUGAUGUCUCUUGUGCGGCCUCCUUCUUCUUCCUCCUGCCGCAGACGCCACGGAUCCACGAGCAGCAGCCUGCGCAGGUCAGAAGGCUCCUGCAUUUGUAUCUCACG